rnacentral:misc_RNA from 1 species
GAUGAAGAACGCAGCGAAAUGCGAUAAGUAAUGUGAAUUGCAGAAUUCAGUGAAUCAUCGAAUCUUUGAACGCACAUUGCGCCCCUUGGUAUCCCGAGGGGCAUGCCUGUUCGAGCGUCAUUUCACCACUCAAGCCUGGCUUGGUGUUGGGCGACGUCCUCUUUGGGGACGCGCCUCGAAACGCUCGGCGGCGUGGCACCGGCUUUAAGCGUAGCAGAAUCUUUCGCUUUGGAAGUCGGGGCCCCGUCUGCCGGAAGACCUGCUCGCAAGGUUGACCUCGGAUCAGGCAGGGAUACCCGCUGAACUUAAGCAUACAAUAAGCGGAGGA